GACAGAGGGUGCUAGCGUUGUUCGGAAUGACUGGGCGUAAAGGGCGCGUAGGCGGUUUUUCAAGUCAGAUGUGAAAGCCCCCGGGCUUAACCUGGGAACUGCAUUUGAUACUGGAAGACUGGAGUACGAGAGAGGAAAGCGGAAUUCCUAGUGUAGAGGUGAAAUUCGUAGAUAUUAGGAGGAACACCAGAGGCGAAGGCGGCUUUCUGGCUCGUAACUGACGCUGAGGCGCGAAAGCGUGGGGAGCAAACAGG
rnacentral:rRNA from 1 species